AAGGAAACAUUUCAACAGAGAACCCUGUGGAAAUUGAGACCAACUAUCUUCUCGAAGUCCUGAACUCCCCAUUCCUACUUCUGAAGGCAUCCUUUUGUUCACAGCAGCUAAAGCUAGCCCGAAGUCCAGUUCCUUGCGAUGGUGGUUCUGUUUGGAUGUUGGAUACACACCAUUCCAAGCAUUGUGGUCUCCAAAUACUGUCAUCCAGGGCCCUGCAGCAACUGAACAAGGAGAAGAUACCCUGUUGUGUCAUCCUGAUCUGAGAUAAUACAUAGGAUGAAAGCACAUGGUUAAGUUAUCUACCAACCUGGCAGGAAUGGAUUCCAGAUAUGGAACACCAUGGCCUCACUCUUUGCCAGUAUACUCCUGGAAGGGCAAGCCUAUGAUGUACAUAUGUGAUUAGAAUCCACUGACUAUAGUAGAACUGCCAAUUAAGAAGAAGAAAUUGCCAGCCCUGGCUCAAGCGCCAUCUUUUCCAACACUCAAGGCAAGUGGAUCGCCAGAACGUGCAACAUGAUUGCAGGUGCAUUUAGGGACACUCAGAGCCAAGUGCCCACAGCCACGCCAGGAAGCAAGACCACAGCUUGUUCGACUCUCGAGUAGUCAUCGGGAAAGCGGCCCUGGAAGUCAGGGCUUCAUCCUUCCAACUGUGGCAUGAUGAGUGUGUUGGUGCAGGAAUCCAGCCAGCCCUGGGUGGCUUCCACUGCCUCUGGACCAAGGCAGAUUUCCUCAAGCAGGGCAAAGCACGUCCUUGCCACCCUUGACUUUAAUCAGUCGCAGGAUGGGAACCGAUGGUAAAGUGACUAAUGUUCAUUUACAGACGCCGUAUUGAUUUCUGAGACCGGAUCUUCCGCUUCCUUAGCUGGGAUUGCGGCAAAGAAGUGGUUCCCUCUAAGACCCAGCUGGGUCAGUGUGUGGUUCAGUGGUACCUGGUGACAAUUCAAAGUGUGCCUGUCCCAUCUCCCAUCUGUGCACAUCACCCCUGAUGUCCCUGCGGCGUGGACACCGAGCUGACCAGGCCGGGAGCCUCACGAACUGAUGAGAUAUCAAAUACUUUCAGUCACUUUGGAAGGAAAUCACUUAAAAGACUGCAACUGUUGGGAUGCCUGGGUGGCUCAGUGGUUGAGCGUCUGCCUUCAGCUCAGGUCGUGAGAUCAAGUCCCGCAUCAGACUCCCCACAGGGAGCCUGCUUAUGUCUCUGCCUCUCUCUGU